rnacentral:rRNA from 1 species
AUUGAACGCUGGCGGCAGGCCUAACACAUGCAAGUCGAACGGUAACAGGAAACAGCUUGCUGUUUCGCUGACGAGUGGCGGACGGGUGAGUAAUGUCUGGGAAACUGCCUGAUGGAGGGGGAUAACUACUGGAAACGGUAGCUAAUACCGCAUAACGUCGCAAGACCAAAGAGGGGGACCUUCGGGCCUCUUGCCAUCGGAUGUGCCCAGAUGGGAUUAGCUAGUAGGUGGGGUAACGGCUCACCUAGGCGACGAUCCCUAGCUGGUCUGAGAGGAUGCCCAGCCACACUGGACCUGAGACACGGUCCAGACUCCUCCGGGAGGCAGCAGUGGGAAUAUUGCACAAUGGGCGCAAGCCUGAUGCAGCCAUGCCGCGUGUAUGAAGAAGGCCUUCGGGUUGUAAAGUACUUUCAGCGGGGAGGAAGGGAGUAAAGUUAAUACCUUUGCUCAUUGACGUUACCCGCAGAAGAAGCACCGGCUAACUCCGUG